rnacentral:rRNA from 1 species
UACGUAGGGGGCAAGCGUUGUCCGGAUUUACUGGGCGUAAAGCGCGUGUAGGCGGAAGCGCAAGUCCGGUGUGAAAGCCCCCGGCUCAACCGGGGAAGGUCGCUGGAAACUGCGCUUCUUGAGGACGGCAGAGGGAAGUGGAAUUGCUGGUGUAGCGGUGAAAUGCGUAGAGAUCAGCAGGAACACCCGUGGCGAAGGCGGCUUCCUGGGCCGUGCCUGACGCUGAGGCGCGAAAGCUAGGGGAGCAAACGGG